rnacentral:rRNA from 1 species
AGAGUUUGAUCCUGGCUCAGAACGAACGCUGGCGGCAGGCCUAACACAUGCAAGUCGAGCGAGACCUUCGGGUCUAGCGGCGGACGGGUGAGUAACGCGUGGGAACGUGCCCUUCACUGCGGGAUAGUCCCUGGAAACGGGGUUUAAUACCGCAUGCGCCCUUCGGGGGAAAGAUUUAUCGGUGAAGGAUCGGCCCGCGUUGGAUUAGGUAGUUGGUGGGGUAAUGGCCUACCAAGCCUACGAUCCAUAGCUGGUUUUAGAGGAUGAUCAGCCACACUGGGACUGAGACACGGCCCAGACUCCUACGGGAGGCAGCAGUGGGGAAUCUUAGACAAUGGGCGCAAGCCUGAUCUAGCCAUGCCGCGUGAGUGAUGAAGGCCUUAGGGUCGUAAAGCUCUUUCGCCUGUGAAGAUAAUGACGGUAGCAGGUAAAGAAACCCCGGCUAACUCCGUGCCAGCAGCCGCGGUAAUACGGAGGGGGUUAGCGUUGUUCGGAAUUACUGGGCGUAAAGCGCGCGUAGGCGGAUCGGAAAGUUGGGGGUGAAAUCCCGGGGCUCAACCCCGGAACUGCCUCCAAAACUACUGGUCUUGAGUUCGAGAGAGGUGAGUGGAAUUCCGAGUGUAGAGGUGAAAUUCGUAGAUAUUCGGAGGAACACCAGUGGCGAAGGCGGCUCACUGGCUCGAUACUGACGCUGAGGUGCGAAAGUGUGGGGAGCAAACAGGAUUANAUACCCUGGUAGUCCACACCGUAAACGAUGAAUGCCANACGUCGGGCAGCAUGCUGUUCGGUGUCACACCUAACGGAUUAANCNUCCGCCUGGGGAGUACG